CCAACGUGGGUAUCCUGGCUAGAUGACUCCAGGCUCUGUCCAAGUGGCGAAAGGGAGUGUAGGGCCUUGCCCUGUGACAUACAGUCCCAUUCCACAACGUUGGAUAUCAAGCUGGGCCUUGUGUCUGCACCUGCAUAUUCCUAAACCUUCUCAGNNNNNNNNNNCAAGCUGGGCCUUGUGUCUGCACCUGCAUAUUCCUAAACCUUCUCAGCGUCUUUGGACUGUGACUGAGGAGACAAACCAUGCAGGAAACAGUG
rnacentral:snoRNA from 1 species